rnacentral:rRNA from 1 species
GGGGACCCGCAAGCGGUGGAGCAUGUGGUUUAAUUCGAAGCAACGCGAAGAACCUUACCAGGUCUUGACAUCCUCUGACAAUCCUAGAGAUAGGACUUUCCCCUUCGGGGGACAGAGUGACAGGUGGUGCAUGGUUGUCGUCAGCUCGUGUCGUGAGAUGUUGGGUUAAGUCCCGCAACGAGCGCAACCCUUGUCCUUAGUUGCCAGCAUUCAGUUGGGCACUCUAAGGAGACUGCCGGUGACAAACCGGAGGAAGGUGGGGAUGACGUCAAAUCAUCAUGCCCCUUAUGACCUGGGCUACACACGUGCUACAAUGGAUGGUACAAAGGGUUGCGAGACCGCGAGGUUUAGCCAAUCCCAUAAAACCAUUCUCAGUUCGGAUUGUAGGCUGCAACUCGCCUACAUGAAGCCGGAAUCGCUAGUAAUCGUGGAUCAGCAUGCCACGGUGAAUACGUUCCCGGGUCUUGUACACAC